UACGUAGGGUGCGAGCGUUAAUCGGAAUUACUGGGCGUAAAGCGUGCGCAGGCGGUGAUGUAAGACCGAUGUGAAAUCCCCGGGCUUAACCUGGGAACUGCAUUGGUGACUGCAUUGCUGGAGUAUGGCAGAGGGGGGUGGAAUUCCGCGUGUAGCAGUGAAAUGCGUAGAGAUGCGGAGGAACACCGAUGGCGAAGGCAGCCCUC
rnacentral:rRNA from 1 species